rnacentral:rRNA from 1 species
UUUUAUGGAGAGUUUGAUCCUGGCUCAGAGUGAACGCUGGCGGCGUGCCUAAUACAUGCAAGUCGAACGAUGAAGCUUCUAGCUUGCUAGAAGUGGAUUAGUGGCGCACGGGUGAGUAACGCAUAGGUCAUGUGCCUCUUAGUUUGGGAUAGCCAUUGGAAACGAUGAUUAAUACCAGAUACUCCCUACGGGGGAAAGAUUUAUCGCUAAGAGAUCAGCCUAUGUCCUAUCAGCUUGUUGGUAAGGUAAUGGCUUACCAAGGCUAUGACGGGUAUCCGGCCUGAGAGGGUGAACGGACACACUGGAACUGAGACACGGUCCAGACUCCUACGGGAGGCAGCAGUAGGGAAUAUUGCUCAAUGGGGGAAACCCUGAAGCAGCAACGCCGCGUGGAGGAUGAAGGUUUUAGGAUUGUAAACUCCUUUUGUUAGAGAAGAUAAUGACGGUAUCUAACGAAUAAGCACCGGCUAACUCCGUGCCAGCAGCCGCGGUAAUACGGAGGGUGCAAGCGUUACUCGGAAUCACUGGGCGUAAAGAGCGCGUAGGCGGGAUAGUCAGUCAGGUGUGAAAUCCUAUGGCUUAACCAUAGAACUGCAUUUGAAACUACUAUUCUAGAGUGUGGGAGAGGUAGGUGGAAUUCUUGGUGUAGGGGUAAAAUCCGUAGAGAUCAAGAGGAAUACUCAUUGCGAAGGCGACCUGCUGGAACAUUACUGACGCUGAUUGCGCGAAAGCGUGGGGAGCAAACAGGAUUAGAUACCCUGGUAGUCCACGCCCUAAACGAUGGAUGCUAGUUGUUGGAGGGCUUAGUCUCUCCAGUAAUGCAGCUAACGCAUUAAGCAUCCCGCCUGGGGAGUACGGUCGCAAGAUUAAAACUCAAAGGAAUAGACGGGGACCCGCACAAGCGGUGGAGCAUGUGGUUUAAUUCGAAGAUACACGAAGAACCUUACCUAGGCUUGACAUUGAGAGAAUCCGCUAGAAAUAGUGGAGUGUCUGGCUUGCCAGACCUUGAAAACAGGUGCUGCACGGCUGUCGUCAGCUCGUGUCGUGAGAUGUUGGGUUAAGUCCCGCAACGAGCGCAACCCCCUUUCUUAGUUGCUAACAGGUCAUGCUGAGAACUCUAAGGAUACUGCCUCCGUAAGGAGGAGGAAGGUGGGGACGACGUCAAGUCAUCAUGGCCCUUACGCCUAGGGCUACACACGUGCUACAAUGGGGUGCACAAAGAGAAGCAAUACUGCGAAGUGGAGCCAAUCUUCAAAACAUCUCUCAGUUCGGAUUGUAGGCUGCAACUCGCCUGCAUGAAGCUGGAAUCGCUAGUAAUCGCAAAUCAGCCAUGUUGCGGUGAAUACGUUCCCGGGUCUUGUACUCACCGCCCGUCACACCAUGGGAGUUGUGUUUGCCUUAAGUCAGGAUGCUAAAUUAGCUACUGCCCACGGCACACACAGCGACUGGGGUGAAGUCGUAACAAGGUAACCGUAGGUGAACCUGCGGUUGGAUCACCUCCUUUCUAGA